UGGGGAAUUUUGGACAAUGGGGGCAACCCUGAUCCAGCCAUUCCGCGUGAGUGAAGAAGGCCUUCGGGUUGUAAAGCUCUUUCAGCAGGAACGAAACGGUCGGCUUUAAUAAAGUCGGCUAAUGACGGUACCUGCAGAAGAAGCACCGGCUAACUACGUGCCAGCAGCCGCGGUAAUACGUAGGGUGCGAGCGUUAAUCGGAAUUACUGGGCGUAAAGCGUGCGCAGGCGGCGACAUAAGACAGAUGUGAAAUCCCCGGGCUCAACCUGGGGAACUGCGUUUGUGACUGUGUUGCUAGAGUGUAGCAGAGGGGGGUGGAAUUCCACGUGUAGCAGUGAAAUGCGUAGAGAUGCGGAGGAACACCGAUGGCGAAGGCAGCCCCCUGGGUUAACACUGACGCUCAUGCACGAAAGCGUGGGGAGCAAACAGGAUUAGAUACCCCCGUAGUCCCUGAGCGGGCUGGCAAGGCGCAU
rnacentral:rRNA from 1 species